rnacentral:rRNA from 1 species
UACGUAGGGUACAAGCGUUGUCCGGAAUUAUUGGGCGUAAAGAGCUCGUAGGUGGUUUGUCGCGUCUGCUGUGGAAACGCAAGGCUCAACCUUGCGCGUGCAGUGGGUACGGGCGAACUAGAGUGCAGUAGGGGAGUCUGGAAUUCCUGGUGUAGCGGUGAAAUGCGCAGAUAUCAGGAGGAACACCGGUGGCGAAGGCGGGACUCUGGGCUGUAACUGACGCUGAGGAGCGAAAGCAUGGGGAGCGAAC